UGAGAAGAAUGGGGUCCCAAAUGGUCUCUGCUACUCUGAUUCUUGUGUUGGCAUUUGUGUCUCUAUCCUUGCCUUCUCAAAUCUCAGCCGACGGAUACAUCUAUUCAUCACCACCACCACCCAAAAAGUACCCUCCGGUGUCUCCUCCUUAUCACUACCCUUCACCACCACCACCACCAGUGCACUCACCACCACCUCCUUAUCACUACCCUUCCCCACCACCUCCUAAGAAGGCUCCAUCUCCUUCUUACCAUUACUCUUCUCCACCACCACCUCCAAAGAAGACUUACAAGUACCAUUCUCCUCCUCCACCAGUGCAUGUUGCCCCUCCAAAGGCACCAUACCAUUAUGCAUCACCCCCUCCUCCUCCUAAGAAGCCAUACAAGUACCCUUCUCCACCACCUCCGGUGGUUGUUGUAAGCCCACCAAAGGCUCCUUACCAUUAUCCAUCACCACCACCCCCUCCCAAGAAGUCUCCAGCAUACCAUUACCAUUCUCCUCCACCACCUAAGGCUCCUUACCACUAUGCAUCCCCUCCACCACCUCCUAAGAAACCAUACAAGUACUCAUCACCCCCUCCACCAGUGCAUGUUUACCCUCACCCUCACCCACUGCCCCACCCACACCCUCACCCACUGCCCCACCCACACCCACUGCCUCAUCCACACCCACUGCCCCACCCGCACCCACUCCCACACCACCACUCUCCACCACCUAAGAAGCCAUACAAGUACUCUUCCCCUCCACCUCCAGUCCCUACCCACCCUCUCCCACACCCACAUCCUCACCCACUACCCCACCCACACCCCCUACCACACCCACACCCUCUACCUCAUCCUCACCCAGUGUACCACUCUCCACCACCACCUAAGAAGUCUUACAAGUAUGCUUCACCACCACCUCCAGUUCAUCCUUACCCUCACCCACAUCCUAUCCCACACCCUGUUCCCCACCCUUAUCCUCACCCAGUGUACCACUCCCCACCACCACCAGUCCACCCAGCUCCCUACAUUCCUCACCCAGUGUACCACCACCACUCUCCUCCACCAACUCCACAGAAGAAGCCUGGUUACAAGUACCCAUCUCCUCCACCUCCUUCCCAUUCCUACAUCUAUGCUUCACCUCCCCCUCCUUACCACCAUUAGAUAGCAUAGCUAGUACUACUCUCUAUGGUAAACCUCCUUCAUAAAAUCUACAUUGUAAUACGUAUGUUUUAAUUGCAACAUGCUUGAUUCAAACUAUAAGGUUUACCACCCUAAUAAAGAUCAUGUUAAUGUUGCAUUUAAGUUUCAUGCUAUAUCAUUUGUGUACUUUAUAUAUUGUUUGAAACCGAGUUAUGUUAUGACAUGGUCUAAAGUCUAAACUGAUUACUAAUAUUUGCAUGUGUUUAUUAUCAUUAUCAGUGUACGUAUGAUAUGAAGAUGUUGUACGAAUGAAGAAAGCGAUGGAAAGAAGAAGCGCUUCACAGUUACACAAAAUAAAGAAGAGAUUAAGAAUAAAUGUUGGUGUUAAUUGUGUAUUAAUAUGAUUUGGUUUCAAUCAUUUUAAAUGCUUUUGGGUUUUGUGGUAUGUUGUAUUUUGAUAGCUGUAAAGCAACGUUGUGCUAAGGUGUCGAAGUAGUUAGUAAUGCUAGCUUCUGUUGUGUCAGUCUAAAAUAGUACGUGUACGUGCACGCGUUGUAGUUUUCAAGCUACUGUGUUUUGCAGGGCUUGUAAGACCAUCAAUUGCUAUAUAUUAAUAAAAUAAAUAUUUUCUCUUUCAAACUGUCGGAAUUUUGUCUAUAUUAUGGACACUAUGAACAACAAAUGGAGAUACAAAUGAUUGUUUUUACACAUAAAUGUAAUUAUAUGAUAAACAUAGGAUAUAAAUGUUAUUACACAUUACUUUUUGUGUGUUAUUAUAUGAUACUUAGUUCUCAGAUAGAUCCUUACUAGGUCACGAGAGUGGAACUGAGAGCGCUAGAAUCGAAACUUUUUCUGGUGAUUGAAAUAUUUGUCACUGCUACGACGUGGCAUAGGAUACCAAUCUAAUUAAUUUGUCACAAUUUAUAUAAAUAAAAAUGUCAUUUAUAGUUUUUCAAUAAAAAAUUAACGCGUGCACAUAAUUACAAGCAUGCUAUACUUAAAAACAUAAUUAACAUCCAUAUAUAUUCAACACCUUAUUAUAUAUUAGAUGAAAUCUUGUAGGUAGAGUUGAUAUUUUGAGUAAUUUUGCACGUCCCAUUCAUCAUUACAUAAAUUAUCUUGUUUCGGAAAAUAAUGUCCUUAUAGCUGGACUCAUGCGAAAGACAAUCACACUUGCAAAUCUUCUUUGAGUUUGACAUUUGAUUUUCGGUGCAUUUGCUUUAACUUUUAAAAAUAAGGCAUAUUUUAUACUUUUCAAUUUUAGGCCUUUAUAAUUUUUUUUGUCUAAUACGAAAAAGGAAAUACGUUUAGUGUCCAAAUUUUUGUGUCUAAAUAAACUGUUUGUCCUCAACAUCACCACGCCACACCUUAAUUUUAUGGAUAAAUCUUGAAGAACUAAAAUUUAGUAACCAUCUGAGUAUUAAACAUUUAAUUAAGAAUAAAUUACACUAACACUUCGAGUUUUAGUGAAAUUAUACAAGUUACCUUUUUUUUUUUUAUAUUUACACAAACUUAUAAUAAAUAGGAAUCUCUUGAUCCGUGUAUGGUUCUUGAGGAGGAAGAGAGAAAGUAGAUGAAAUCGUUGUGAUGUGAAAACUAGAUCAGAUCCAACUUAGUAUCAGGGUUAGUUUUUGUUUUUUUCUUAUGUAAUUCAGUCAAGGCAAUUGAUAAAUAAUAAAACAUGUGACUUCCAGCUCAAUAAUUUACGGAAAGAUAAAAAAUAACUGAUCAAAGGAAAUGUUAGCUUUAUUAACUGAUUGGACAGAUUCAAUUAAUCUCAAUCAGUUUUUUUCUUCCAUUCUCACUCAUCACUUUAGCUAAUAAUAAUAGUCAGUAAUUAUAUUUCUCAACUUUUUUCUUCCACACUUCAUCUUUUUUAUUUCUUCCUUUAUAUCAUAUCAUCAAAUCACUGCAAUAAUACUAGGCAAUGACAUAUUUUGCAAUAAGAUAUGAAACUCACUAGUACAUUUUUUUAAUACUAGAUAAAUACUAUAUAAAGAUUGAUGUAAAAGGCAUUUUUUUUCUUCAUGUGAUGUGUGUUAUUUGUCGUAACCAAUGUCUUAACAUUAUUCUUGUAACAAUAAUGCAAUUUUAUAUUAAUAGUAGUAAUCUUUUACAACUUGGGAGAAAAGCAAAUUACAGUAGCUAUAUAGGGGAGGAGAAUAUCAACUUUGUAUUGAAAGAAAAAUAAUGUUUGGAAAAUAGGAACAAAGUAUAGUGGGAGAUGGGGCCUUCUUAAUCUAAGAGCAACUUAGAGGAAAGAAUAUGAAAAGAAAAAGACAAUCCAUAAAAAGCUUAAAUUACGGGCAACUUUAAGCUUGGGAGUUUCUAACAUCAUUUCAUAUAAGUAGUUAUCAUUGACAUUGUCGAUGACAAAGUUUUUUAGGAGCUCCACCAAUUUGGUUUUUUUUGGAGCUCCACAAAAUUCUAUAUUUGAAUUUUAUGAAGUUAUUUAUUUGGAUUAUGUGUUUCUUUGCUAGUAUAACGAUUAUAUUUGGUUUCAAAAUAAUUAAAUAAGUUUGAAACUUCUAACAUAUCUAAAAACCCAUAUUUUCCUCAUAAAAACUAUACUUUCAAAAUUUCAUAACAUGUCAUAUCAAAAGGCUCAAAACUCUUAAAAAAAAUAGCAAACAUUUUCGAGAGUCUUAAUACUAGUUGUGAAAACUUUGAAAGAACUAAUUUUACCGAGGGUUAAUCACUAAAUGUUUAAUAAUUCGAUUUUUGUACGGGACAUUGUUCAGAAAGAUAAUCAUACACCUUGAAUAAAAUUAAUUUUUUAUAUAAGAUAUUUUUAGUAAUAUAAAAAAAUUAAGUUACUUUGAUUUUAGUACUUAUACUUCACUAAUUUUUUCUAAAAACUAACGAUACUGAUCAACUACAAAGUGUUUAGAAAAUACAAGGAUUGACACACACAAAACUAAGAACUAAAAAUGAAAAUUUAGUACAUUUUGUAAAGACGAAAAAACACAUUUUUUAAGACUGAAAUAAAAAAUGAAAACAAAGUUAAUGAAAUGAACACAAGCUGGCAAAUGAAAUGAAAAUUCGAUUUGUUGAAAUGAAAAUUAAAAUGAAGAAUGUGCAUGUGGACAGGUUUUACACAAGUAUUCAUGACAUGAAUCAAUCACCUUAUUCAUUUUUUCUAGUUUAAUCAUUGCAAUAGGCUCCAUCUAGUACAAUGAAUAUGGACAUGUUUUUUUUUUGAGUCAUUAUCAAACUUUGUCGACAACACAUGGAAAAAUACUGUUUUUUUUACAUAAAAAAUAUAGAUCAUUUUUUUUUGUUUAUUUUGGUUAUAUGUUUUUUUAUAAAUUAAGCUUCUUAUAGUUACAAACUUUGUUUACAAACAAAAAUAUAAACAGAGAAAAAAAGUCACCACUUAAAAUAUUAAGUUUUCAAAUGAACUUUUUCUCAUUUUAAUAUUUUUAGUUAGUAUUUGUGGUAAGAAAACUGUUAUAACAUUUUUAAGUUUUAUCCUACAUGAUUGAGGAAAAUUGUUCAGUCAUUUGAACUACAAAAGAGCAAGUUAAUUCCCUUAUUAGUAUAGGAUAUUUGAACCAAAACCUUAUAUUAUAACAAUAAGAUAUUUAUGAUUUCUUAUUAAAAAAAUGAGGCAGAGCUUUAUGAGAUAACAGGCUGACAUAAAUACAAGAUUUGUAUAGGAUACUAAUGGGCUUUUGAAACUGGCCCAGAUUUGGAUAUUAAUGGGCUUUUGAAAUGCAUAGAAUUUUAAAUUACAUUUCAUUCCAACAGUUUAAACUUACAUACUCAAGUUAAGAUUCAAGAUAAUAAUCUCAUAUAUCAAUUGUUAUUUUAGGAUCAAAUACAUUAUUUUUUAAGUAUCAUUGCAUCUAAUGUGAAACCCAAUUGGUUUGCUUUCAAGUUAUGUGGACACUAUUUCUUCAAUGAACAUGCAUACUCUAUAUGUAUACAUGUAACAAAGUUUCAAAAUUCUCAAAUUUAUAAUCAAUAUUUGAGGACUGUGAUAAGUAAAGAUAUUUGUUAUGAGUAGACAAAUAUAAUUUUUUUCAUUAAUGAAUAUACAUGUUUCUUUACUCUUGGACAAACUAGCUAAUAUAUAGGGGACGAAACUUUUGAAAAAUAGGCAUGCAAAAUAAGGAACAUGAAAUGAUAGUUUUAUAUGAGCGAACGAAUUUUAUUACUUAAGUUACAUUUAGUACAUACUUGACAAACAUGGAGAACAAUCUUCAACGUGGAUCUUGCUAAAUGAGUUUAAUAUGUCCUUUAGAAUCAACCUUGAAACUAGCUAUUCAUAUAAUUGUUAUGCUUGUUAUCUAUCUAUCUAUUUAUAUAUAUGAUUAUAUUAUUCGAACAAAUUGUCAAGAACAUUCUGUAUACUUUAUAUACUUUGAUAAAAAUACAUUUUUUUAUGAAAAAAGUAAAUGUAUUAAACAUAAAAAACAAAAUAAAAUUCACUUCAAGUCACAAAGAACUGUUAGGAAGGCAAGAGUGCUUCAAAUAAUGUCCUAAAAAGACUCCAUUGGAAAUAUAAACAACAAUUAGGAAGUCACCUCCUAAGGGUGCUUAGCAUCCGAAUCAUCUCCAUUAAUGGAGAGACAAGUACUUGUUUUUCCAAGUAUUUUUAAUGGCAAAUAUGAUAAUUUAUUAUAUAUAAAAGAAUAAAAAUGUCUACCAUGUUGUUUUUCCCUUUGUUUUUGUAGUACUUGUCUCUCAAUUAAUAGAGAAUCCUUACUUUCAUAUUGGAUAUGAGUUUGUGGCACUCUCACUAAACCCCAUGCAAAACUACUACAUGAUAUCUACUUAUGGACUAGGAAGUGGAAUGAUAUUAUUUCCCCAACCGAUAUUUAUACUAAACAUCUAAAAUAUUUUCAUCAAAUGUAACCAUUGGUGCAGAUAAAGGUUACUAGAAAAUGACCGAAAUAAGUUUCACUCACACCAACAAAUAUUCUAAAAGAUAAUUAGAAAUAUAGCGAAAGGUAGCUUUUACUGCUACAUCUUAAUGUUAAACUGGUUCCACGCUACAAUUAUAAAACAUAUUAUAUAAAGUUCAUAACAACAGCUUAAAAUUUAAGCCUAAAACUACGAAACACAAAUAACAACAAAUGACAAUUGUUGAACAAUGUUCUUCACAAGCCUCACCUUAAUAUAAAUACGCGUUUAAAGAAGAUGUUACUUGUGAUAAUCAUCCCCAACAAUUGAUCAUUUUGAUAAUAUGAAAACUAAUUGAGUUGAUUGAAGUAAUAGAAGCUUGGACCACAUUGCUCAUUGAAAGCUUGACCAAAGGAAUUAGAAGGAGGAAGAGGAGGCAUUGAAAUUUGUUGUUGCAGAUGAGUCCCUUGAUGUUGAUAUGAAGGAUUAGGGCAUUGGCGAAGCAAGGCUAACAUGGAAGAAAAUUUAGAUACCAACUCAGUAGAAGAAGGAUCAUUAACCAUAUCAACAGCAUACUCAUUAUUUUUCAUCAUAUAAUACUCCAGUUCCUUCCUCAUUGCUUCUCUGAGGGCUACAAGAACAAAAGUGGGUCAACUUUAUAUUCACAUACUAAAUUUAGAAAGCAACAAAACCAUAAUAUGUAAGUAAAUUUCAAGUCACAAGUACAGUUUUCACAUUAUGUUGAAGGUACUUGCAAUCAAUAUGCUUGAUCCCCCAUUUUUUUCUGGAUGGUUUUAGUAAGUGAUAGUUUGAUAAUAACAUAGACAUUUUUAAGUAUAAUAAUGACAGUAUUUAUUUAUUGAGGUAAAUGUCAUGUAUGUGAGAGUGAAAGCACAAAUACCCAUUAUUUUAAACAUUAAAAAAAAGCAUAGAACCAUGCAUGCAUACCACAUUUUUGUUGUAGUUGUUGUCCCAAAGCCUCAAUUUGCAUUUUGAACUGGUUAUUCAGAGCAAUCCUGGUUGCAAUGUUUCUCUGCAUUAUAUAAAAGUUGUUGCAGAUUUAAUAAAAGGUCAUUAAAAUUAAUGGGUUGAUACUACAGUAAAACAAAUCUGCACCAUCAUUGUUAGUGUAGUGAGACUCUAACAAAUUAAUCAAAACUUGGUCCUUAUUAAAGUUACCGCAUUUAUGUUAAUGUAAAACAUAUUGCAAAAGAAAAUCACAUACUUUGCAUAUGGCAAGUUGUUCAUCGACCAUAUCUGAGAGAGCUUGAAGCUUUUUCACCCUCCCCUCCAACUCUUUUGCAUAAGUUUUUUUCCUCUCCUUUGAUUUAGUGGCAGAUAUCCUAUUAGCAAGAAUCCUACAACACAUAACAACUCAACUAUUCUUAGUGCAACAAUCUUGUACCCUGAAAUAAACAAAUUUAAUUAAAAAUUAUAAUAAAAAAAUCAUGAUGAAGCAUCAUGAGCACAUUUAACUUUGUUGCUGAAAUUACUUAUGCAGGAAAAUACUCAACAAUUCAAAGUAAAGGUUAUGUUAUCUCAAAAUUUAACAUAUAUAACAAAGAUAAAAAAGCAAUGAUUAUAAGAAAAUGCUGAACCUUUUUGCUUUCUUAGGGUCAACUUUUGCUAGUUCAAGUAGCUCCUCAGGAGACACAACCCUUUUUACAACGAAAGAAGAUGCACCCAUUUGAGGAGAAUAGCUUUUCCAAUUGCAUUGAUCCUCCUUACUCUCUCCCUUCCCACCACAACUACUCUUCAAAUCAGAGUCCACAGAUAAUUUCUUACUCAAUUCCUCCACAGUCAAUGAAUCCUUACUAGCCAUUACAACAACAUCGUGAAAUCCAAAGGCUGCCACGGGUGGCGGUGAUAGUGGCAGUGAAGGGAGGUUGAAUUCCUGAAGGUCAUUGUUGUUGUUAAGGGUAACAUGUGAGAGGACCCUUUCAUCGUUAGACCCAUCUUGCUGCAUACUUGGUGCUACACCUUCCUUCUUGUUUGCUUCCAUUACAAAGAAAUUUCUGCAGGUUUUGGUGAAUUUGAUACUCAAAAGUUGAGUUACCAGUAUUUAUAUUGUUUACUUGUAUUUUACCUGGCCAGUGAGUGAGGAGAAGUUGCAUAUAACUCACAUUUGCUAAUGAAGAUAUGCCCUACUUUUGGUGUAUGUCUCGGAUCAAUCAAAAUGUAUUAUUUAAUAUAAAGUAAUAUUUGAUAGAGAAUAAUGUAUCUCCUCGUAUAAUGAGAUAACUUAUAUCCUCUAGCCAGUAAAAAUCUGACAUGUGUGCUAUUUUGUUUAUUUUUAAAAAUAUUUUUAUAGAAAAUGAUAAAACAUGACACAUGUCAUAAUUUUAUUGGCAGAAGGAGAUGAUUUAUCUCCUUAUAUAAGGAGAUAUUCCAUUUCCCUAUUUUAUAUUAUUUAGUAUAAUUAUAUUGUAUGAAAAUAUGAAGAAAGGGCCUCUCUGGAAUUAAAGAUCUUGUUCUAUAUUUACACCUCAUUUUCUUGUAAUGAACACCGCACGUGUGUUUAACUCUCUAAUGGAGAGAUAUCUCAUUCGGACUACAGUACUUAGAUCCUUUCUAAUAAUUAAGAGACAAUGAUAUGAAAAAUAAUAUUAAAAAAUAGAAGAAUAUAAUACUUUUAUCAUUUUAAAUAUAUUGAUGUAAUAAUUUUACUCUUAAAUACAAGUGUAAAGACAAUAACUUAUCUUUAUAAUAAUAAAGAAGAUCCUAAUUUCACAUAGAGAUAUAUCUUUAUCGAAACAACAAAUAAAAUAUUAACAAAACAUUAAAAUUUUAUUUUAAUAAGAAUUUAGUCCACAAAUAUAAUAUGUUCCAUAAGUGAAAUGUUUUUCCUGUGAGGAAGAGUGUAAUGAUUUUUUCAACUGACACAUUUUUUAUACACAGGAUGUGUGCUCACAUUCUGCAGCAGUUACAUAUGAAAGUGUUGGAAAUGGUGUAUAUUUAAUGCAAUAAUUAAAUAAGUCAGUUUCUUUUUAUUUCGACUUAAUCUAAUCAUUAAUUAGGUCUUCUUUUUUCUUCCUUCAAUGCGGAGGGAGUGAUCACUGUUUAAAAAAUGUACAAUUAUUAUGAGAGCUAAAUUUCUCAUAACAAGUAUUUAACGGAUUAGUAUCAUUACAAAUUUGAACUCAGGAACUUAUAAGCUAAAAAACGCUCCAUCAAAAUGAUUUAGGCAGUUGUUGAUAGAAGUAAUUAUUAUUGACAAUCAUUAGUAACUUAUUUAAUCUUAAACGAAAAAUGUGUUAAUCUCUUGUAAAAAUAGCAUACAAAUUUUUCUAUUUAACCUAUUAAUAUCAUUAGAGAUUUGAACUCGGGAACUCAUAAGCUUAAAAAGGCUCCACCAAAAUGAUUCACGCAUUACUAAUUUACUAUUGACAAUGAUUAUUAACUUAUUUAAUCGUAAAUGAAAAAUGUGUCAAUUGUAAAAAUAACAUACAAAUUUUCCAAUUUACAUAUAAAAGUGAUAUGUGUUAUAUGGUGGUAUUUACUAAUUGAUUAUUGAUUUACCAAUACCAAAUAUCAUUUUGUGAUGAAGAGAAGAAUAAUUGGUAAGGUAAUAUAAUAUUACUUUUAAUAAAAUAAAGAAAAUUGAGACUACUAAAAACAAUUCUACCUGACUUUUUAUCUUAGAAUUAUUUGUGUUUCCAAAUUUGAGAUCUUCAUCCAUAUUUAAAAUUAAUAUUUUUUUGGAUAUGGUGAAACUAACCGUUAUCCACUUUUUAUUUCUAUUUAAUGUAUAAAUUAAAUAAUUUUUAUUAAUUAUGCAUUAUUACCGAUUGUUUCUUUUUUGUUGCAUACCUCUUAACUUUUUAAUUUUCACCUGAUUCCAAAUCUGUUGAAUGUUUAAAUUUUUUAUUUUUUAACUUAAUAUAUAUUUUAUUUUCAAAUAUACUUUAAUUUAUCACUUCUUCCUUUUUCCUUUAUUUAUUUUUAAUAUACAUUAAAUAUACUGUUAUUUUAGUCAAAUUAUAUUCAACUUUUACCUAACUUUUUCUGACUUCUUAAAUUGUGUAUAUAAUACAUCAUUUUUUUUAAUGAAUGGAAUAAUAAAUAGCCUUAAAUGAGAAAGAGAGGAAAAAAAAGAUGAGUCAUAAAGUAUUUGACAACAGAACAAUUUAACCAUGUUUGAUUAGGGAGUAUUUUUUUAUAUAUAAAAAGCUUAACUAAGUUUUUGAUAGAAUGUAUAUCCAAUGUUUGUUAUGAGAUUUAUUAGAAAAUGAAUAAGAUAGGAUAUUAUAGUUUAUUAUCUAAAUUUAAUUAACUAUUAAUAUUACAUGAAUAUUUCUAAAAUAUUCUUAUUGUAAGAUAAUAACACUUGUGUGAUCAUCAUCAUUAUAGGAUUUGUUUAUUAUUAUUUUUAAAUGUUUUGUUAAAUCAAUAAAUGAAAUAAUAUCUAUAGUGUAAUCGGUAGAGUGCAAACACUAUAUAACAGGAAACUGAAUCAGCUAUCCAAAAUUGUGAGCCACUCUAUCGAUUAUCCCUGAAAUCUCAUUCCUAUGUAGUUUAAGUGACAUUUGAACACCAAAUUAUAAAGUACUAUCGUUAUUGGCUUAUGAUGUUUGAAAGUAGCAUUAGCACAGUGCAAGAGGAUGAGUGAGAGAAAUGUUCUGCAAGAGGAUGAGUGAGAGAAAUGUUCUGCAAGAGGGUGUCAUUAUUCAGAACUUACAACAAUUUAAAUAACAGAUUUCAUGUUUAUUAAUAACCCCCGAUAGCUAUGACUCAUCCUAAUUGAUAUCACAAUGCUCUUCUUUGUACCUUGUGAAUGACAUAACAAAAUGGAACAGAAUGUUAAAAAAUACAUUAUUAAUCCACAUUAUAUAACCACUAUGCACAUAUUGGAGAAAAUUUUGAGAUUUGACCUCCCACUCAUAUGCCUCAAAUCUUUCUCAAAAACUUCACCUUUCCUUCUUCUGUAGGCAUUGAAGAACCAAUGGCUCCAAAUAAGUUUGUCAUACUAUGCUAGGAGGAUCCCCUGACCAGGUGCACACAGCACGAGCCCAGCGCGUCUUUAUACAGUCCACCAAAGGUGCAUGCUGAGAAGGCUCGGGUUUAGAUACUUCCGUGUCCUUCCCAGAAGACCCACUUGCACUGGAAGCAGAAGCAACGUUCACAUCUGCCAUAAAUUCCUCAUGUGUCCACCUUGGGGGAACUGAAACUCUCAACUUCGUCAGACGUGGUUUUUGCAAUGGAGUUUCACCACCAUAGUUUACCUGAAUGCCGUUUAGAUCGGAUUUAGCAAUCCCAUUAAAAUGAUAGAGAUCAAAGGCCUUCUUACCCAUCAAUCCUGAUGAAUCUUUCAGACCUCCCAAGCUUUUGUCUAGAUCCAAAAUUACUUGCCAGAAUUCACUCCAUACAAUGAACUCGGUAUUGGAAAGCUGCUCAGCCUUCUCCUGUGGAAGUUUGAUAUUUGUCGCUCUUAGGACUUGAUGGAACCCAUCCCCACUAAUGAAACCACCACCUCCGCUCUGAUCUUGUGCAUCAAAAGCUUUGCGGAUCUGUGUUUCUCUUACUUCUAGUUCGUUCUCAUUUUGAACGCUGAGGUCAAGAGCAAACAGCACUGUGUAAUGGGAUUCACUCCCAACGACCCAUAUAGGCCACUUUGGGGUUUUGAGAAACUGACCAACCUUGCAGAAAUUCAGGGAUUCUAGCAGAGUGAGAAAUCCAACUUCCACGUUUCGGGAUAUACCUUUCAGAAACAUUCCUCCACCUAAAUCCAUCCUCCCAUCAAACACGUUAGGGACAGCCUCCCCGCAGAGCAACAAGUUUACAAUUUCCUGUAUCACAACAAUCAUACAAAAAGGCAAUUUUAUACAUUAUAGAAUAAUAGAACGAGGAGCAGUUUAAAGGAUAGCAACAUUUUUCAAUCAUCUAUAAGUGAAUACCUGUGAGGCAUGCCCAAAAGGAGCAGUAACCAGAGGUAAGCUGGGAUCAUCCCUGUCACUUUGAACCAAGUCCUAGAGGAAAGCAAAACAUUGCAAGCAUUAAAUUGAGAAAUUUUAAAGGUAUAAAAACAACCAAUGCAAAUUCAGUUACAUAUUUGAGUUUAUGACAUCUAUUUUUGCCAUUGUAGUCCCCAAUUUUUAAAGAACACAGAAAGUGAUAGAUGCAUUCUAAAAUUCAAAGAGAUGGAACAUAGUUUAAGCUCAGAAGGCAUAAUCACUAGUAACAUAGUAACAUGCUCCAUUGUUAUACACAUAGUGGAACAACAACAUGCAUACAGCAUCAACUCAAAAUUUAAAGAACAAGGCCCUUGCUUUAAAAGACAAUGAACUCUAAAGCUGAAAAAUGCAAUGUGAAAUAGAUAACAAGGUUGAAGUAGACAGACAUACCAGUCCCCGAGAAAGUAAAGCAGAGAUUAGGAAAAGCAAUGCCCCCACACGACUUUGGAACAAAGCAAUAUUUGCUUCAAGCCUCUGCAGAGCAGUUGUUUGUGAUGUGUAAGUUUCAACUCUGAGAACUUUCUGCAGAUCCAAGGCUGAAUCAAUGGAAAGACCUUCAAGUGAUCUCACAACGCCCUGUUAGAUGGACAAAACUUGACUCAGAAGAAAAGGAUAUAUCAAAGGAGAACAGCAGUAGGAGAAAAAUAGGAAGAAAGUAAUUUCAAAAUAUAGGUAUUGUUGCGACCCAUACAAAAUUGAGUAUUCACAGGUACGAUAAUCAUGAUACCUCAUCUUCAGAAAUUCCUUCAAAAUGCUGAAUGCCAUUCCCUGAGACGCUCAUAGUUGCAAUCACAACCCUUCUAUUACUUCCACAUGAAAAUAAAAUUUCACCCAUGCUUCUUACAAGGGCCCUGCCAAAGAGAACACACAAAAUAUUAACAAAAAUAUAUCAUGAGCAUGGUUUAUUUACAACCACCAACUGCCACAUAUGAAGCACGUAGAAAAACAUUGGGUAGCGUCUAAAGGUUAUGGACAUGAAAUAUAAAAAAAUGGACAUCAACUAAUAUGCAAAUGAAGUCCACAAAACCUAAAAUAUUUCUAUUCAAUAAAAAUGAGAUGAGAAAGUGGAGGCUAUUUUUUAUGAACCCAUAAGAAACCCAAUAUCUUAAUUCUUGCUGAAUCCCUCAUUAUUUUUUAGAAAAAAAUAGUUAAACAAAAGGAAGCCAUGAAUUCUCAACCACUGCAAUGAAAGGAUGAGAAACAGAAGGAAAACAAAACUCAGUUGUAUGAUUGUACCAAGCCGUACUUGUAUUCUUCAUUGAAGAUGGCUACAAACCAAAGAUUAAUCAGCAUUGGAUGCAUGCUGUUGGAAAAAUACACCAACCUUUAGCCAUUCUGAUUCAAUGCUUCAUACUUUAAAUAAAGGGACACUUAUUAUUCACAAAUUACGGGAAAAAAUAUUUCUAGGUUAGGAACAGUUUCAGCAACUAAUUAAGUCAACAUAAGGUUAACCUAUUAAGCACUAUUUAAACCUUUUAUUAACCACUUAUCAGGUUAAAUUUUCCUAACUUCAAAAUAUGUGUUCGAAGAAUAGUUGUCACUUAGAAGACAAAAUUGUGUCACUUGGAGAGAAAUCAUAAAAGCAAACUCAUAUAUGGUUAACCUAAAAGCAAAUACUAACACAUUAUUAAAGGAAGACAAAUAUGUGUCACUUGGAGACAAAGCAUACCUUAUUGAAUCAAAUCACUAGUCAUGUUCAUGAUACGCAAGAAGACAAUGUAUUGGAGGAAUAAAAGGAAAGGAUGAAUUACAAAGCAAAAGAACUGGGGUUCUAAUAUUUUAUUAUAACAUAUUUUACCUAUCUAAACACAAAGGACUGAUCAGGAAACAGUUAAUCACCUUAGUUUAACAUCUUCACUGAGUGAGGCAAAAUCAAAUGAUAGAAUAGGUUGACUUCUAGAUGAUGAGCCUAGACCUCGAUGUGGCAUGAUUGACAUCUCUUUCAAAUCAUCACUAAAGAAAAGAAUGUAUUUGAGCACAAAUGCCUGAAACGUUAUGGGAAACACAAUCAAAAUCAACAUAAAAUGAAGAGAGAAAAAAAAGAACAUGCUUUUGGAACUUAUGUUGUCCAUCAGUAGAAAAAAUGAAAUGGACAUACUUCACUACAUGCAGACACAUGAACAGCCAUGCUACAAAAUGUAUAUAGUAUUUUCUUCAUUGAAUCAACAAAAUCAACAUUAUUAUAGUGACAAAGUUGAAAACAGUGAAUGUGCAUAAUAAGACAUCAUUAAUUUCAUUUGACUUAGAAUAUACAUGAGAAAGCAUAAAAAGAAGACAUAAAUCAAUUUACACCACAACCCAACACCAGUAUUUCAUAGGCUAAACCAUUACAGUACUCAUUCAGUGCCUAUAGUUACACUGGAAAUUCAAUUUAGUCCUUCUUUACGGUUCAAAACAUUUGAAAGUGAUCCUUACAGUUUAGGGACAUCUAUGGUUCCUUUUAGCUAGCAUUUCUAUUUUAUAAGAUACCUAUUUUAGAGUGAAACUACAAGAAGCAAAUAGGGACCAUUUUGAUAAUGGAAUAUGGAUUUUUUUCAAAUGUUUUGAAACUAGGAUAACUUGCCACAAAUUCAUGGAGCCUUACUUGUAUAGCUGCUAAAACUCCACAGGGGCCGCCUUCAUGCUGCACUAGGCCCAUUGACGUUGCAGGAUCAGAGCUAAACCUACAGGAAAGUUUUCAUGGUAUUAGCAAUAAAAAGGAAGUACAAAUCUUAUUUGAAUUUAGAAGUAAAAGUAACAUAUAAUUCAAAACGCCUUUAAGAAGAGGACAAUGUGUUUUAAAACAUAACAUGCAGAUGAAGAAUUGAAGUUAGAUAGUUAUGAUUUCCUUUAUAAGUAUGGGUUUUCAGGGAAUGAAAUUAAUCCAUUCAUAAAUUACGCUUCACAAAUGGAAAACGUGUAGCAUAGCAAUUAGUUUCACAUCAGAAAGAAAAGUUGGUCAUCUGUGACUGUUACAGGAAAUCUACAAAGCUUAUGCCAAUAGACAAGACUAAAAAGACUUCCACAGGAGCUCAAAACAAUGUCCAAAUAAAUAAUAUUAAGCAAUGAUGACAUCUACAUUGCUUCAAAAUCUAAAUUUAAGAAGUUCUAUAGCAUCAAGAGAACAAAAUCUCAUAUGGCAAGGAUUAUUGGUACUCUACUGCAUGCAAAAAUGUUUACACUAAAUAGCAAUGUGAACUUUAAAUUCUGUUAUUAACAAGAACUUCAUUCAAUCUUUAUUAUUAUGCAAAGACACAUAGGAAAAGAGAACCAGCCCUUUACCAUUCAAUUAAUUACAAAACUAUUUACAUCAAGCAAUCACUGAUGCACAGACAAAAUGUUACAGUGAUAUAGUCUUCCAAAAUUGCCAACUUUAUAUUUUUAUAAUGACAAGUAACAGGAGGAAAUUCUGAUAAUUAGAUCCUCCAUAAAUGGUCAUUAUCUAGGUCACAGGAUUUGCCUACAGAAGAUUGCGCGUGUAAGAUCUGAAUUGGCAAAUUAACAAAAUUAACUUGAAGAAAUACAGUAGUAAAAUAAAUCUUAUAACUCAAACAGUUAAAAAGUCAUAUCUGAAUAAGUUAACAUUAACUUACUAUAAUUUCUCCUCCGUCAUUAAAAAAACUUUCUCUUUCCAAUUUUGCUGUACAAUUCAAAACCUAACACAGAUUACAUCAACUUUGAACAAGAACCAACUAAUUAAGGUUUAGCUUUAAGUCUUAAAAAAAUGUUAAUAGGGAACAAACAAAUAGAGUCCACAAAUUUUAAAGAAGGCUGCGAUUCCUGAUAGAGUACAACAUAAGAAGAUUCCCGGGUUUAGGAAUUCAUUGCAACUACAUCAUCUUAAAGAAUAUAGCACGCAGCAGAUUGAGCAGACGGUUCAGUAGUCAACACAUGAGAAUUUUACAAAGUUAUGUUACUAUACAAUUUAGUUCCCGGCGAACCAGCACGAAGAAACAUAUCUAUCAACUUUAGAUUAACUUAUAGAAACUUAAUCAAAAUAUAAUUAUAAUUAGAAACAUAUCAUGGAUAUUUUGUUUCACAUAAGGUUCACUACGAACACAACUCCUUGUAACAAAACUUGCAUGUUAAAACACCAAGAUUGUUUCAGCCAACACAAUGGCACGUGAAAGUGAAAAUGACAACACAUAACAUAAUCUUUUGAUAUUGUGAUAAAAUAGUAACACUAGUAACCAAAAAAUGAAAAAUAAAAAAUAAAAGCAGAAACUACCUUAUACCCUGAUUGCACCAGCGUGCAAGAAUGCCCUUUGAGACUUCACUUCCAAACAAUAUUACAAACAACUCAUUCGCUUCUUCCACUGACACCUCCUUAAUCAACUUCCCAUCUUUCACACACAACUCAUCAUCACUCUUUUUCACUUCAUUCACUUUACCAACAGGUGGCGGAGGAGAAGGCGACGGUGAAAUAAUCGCAGCCGCAGAUAACCGUUUCUCGGCGGCGGCGGCCAUUAGCUCCCUGCGCCGGGUCAAUGAUUCACCGGAAUCGCCAGAAAGAGCUCCGGCUCCGGCGUCCUCUGGAAUCGCCGGCUGCAUGCUCAUCUGAAUCGCCAUUUCCAAUUCCUCGUCUUCCCCCAUUGCUAUAGAAAUCAAAAGUUUCAAUCCCAAAAACCCUAAAAGUAUAAUUUUUAGCGCUGAGUUUGGCGGCGAUCGAGGAUCGAAGGUUGAAGAGUGGAUUAAUUUAGUGAAAUUGAAAUGGGAUAGCUGCGAAUUUGAAAUUACAGAAUGGAAAUAGUGAGGGAUGGGGAAAUGGGGCUAGAGAAAGUGAAGGUGCAAGUGUGCCGGGAAAUUGAGGGCCAAACGGUGUCGUGUAGUGUAGUGAUGAACGAGGAUGAAAUGACAGUGAAGACCCUUGGUUAAGAAAAGUUGGGAUAUCAGCAUAAAGAUUUGGUAAUAUGUGUAAAGCGCCAAAAAUUUUAUGUUCCUAAUUAGUAAUUAGUAGGGAUGGCAAAGUGUCUGGGCCUAGUGGAUAGUGAUUUCCCGUGCCUAAAUUUGCAAUAUUUGUGGAUAUUCCUAGGUAGUGGGUAUUUGCAGAUACUCAAUAAAUUUUUAAUUUUAAUUAUAUAUUUAUAUAAUUUGUAAUAAUCAAUAUGUAAAAAUAAUUGUUACAUAAGUAAUAUCAUAAAUUUAUGAUUAUAGUAAUUUGUUAUGAAAUAAUAAUAAAGUACAUGAUAUAUAAUCUUAAAAUCAUAAGUAUAUAUACAAAUUUAACUAAAAAUUAAAUAUGUAAAUUUGCGGCUACCUGCAGGGCACGUAUUACAAAACUCGUUCCCGCCUAUAAACUAUUAUUAUGGGUAAUCAUUACGGGUAUUUCCACAUACCCACGGGCCCCGGUUUUUAGUUUUUUAAUUGAUAAAGAAAUGAUAAGUAAAUUUAAGAAUUAAAAGUUAUUAAUGCCAUAAUAUUAUUAUUGUAUAUAUAAAAAAUAAAAUGAAGUAAUAGGUAUCUAACACUUGAGUUUAGAUAGUUGGUGAUGUAAGGGAUGAAUUUGGAAGCUUAUGAAGGCAGAGUUUUGAAGUAAGAGUGGAAGCUAGUGAGAGUACCUGGCCUAGUCGUAAGCAUGUGGUUGCAUGCGCGGUUGUGUGUAAGUCGUGGAGAGAGUUCUGUGGGAAGAUCACUUUCCCUGUUUCUAUGAAGCAUGUGAGAUAUUUUUUGGAACAUGAUCUUAUGUUGCAUUUUAAUGUUUGCAUGAUUUACUAUGUUUGUUUGACCCCCAACAUGUCACAUUUUAUUUAUGUAUUUACCUUAUUCCUUAUCAAUACAAGCCGUUGUCAUUUUUCAAUGUAGAAUUUAUUUAUAUUUCCAUGAUUUUGUACUUCUGCUAAAUUGCAUAAGAUUGUCAUUUGUUUUUGGGAAAUGGAGUGUUUCAAAAUUAAUUUCAUUAUGUUCUUGUUUCUACAAUUUAGAUAUGGCGAUUCUCAUUUAAAAUGGCCAUGUUGUUUGCUCUACGCUCUAGCUAAUAUUUGAGUUUUUGAUGUUAAUAAUAAUGUAAUGAAGUUCAUGACUAUACCUAUCAGUUACUAAACUGCUAAGAGUUAAGAGUUUUUAAUAUUACUUCAUGCCUUUGUAUACAAGCAAAAAAUGUUUAUGCACAUAUUGAUAUCAGAAUUACCCUCUUACCCAUUAUUGAUAUUUAACAUACCCCGUCUUUAAGAAAAUAUUAUAUUACUAACUUACUCAUUAUUGAUAUUUAACAUACAAAAUUACAGUGUUGUUAAAAUCGUACUAGUUGUCAAACCGGUCAGGAUACUGGUAUAGUGGUUCAGUAAUUAAACCGCAUGUCGGUUAAACCGAACAUACCUACUUAUAUUUAUAUAUAUAUAUAAACCUAUAACAAAAAAAAUUCAAAUAGGUAGAUACUCAAAUUUAUAAUUCAUAUUUAUAAUCUACUCAAAAUUCACAUAAAUAAACAACUUUAAGUCUUUAACAAAUUCAAAGUCUAAAUUAAAAAACAUAUAUCGAUAAAAAAGUAUCACUUAACAACCACAAAAUAUAAAUAAAUGACAUAACUUCACAACUCACUCUAUAAAACAAAUAAAUUUAGAGUUUUAACAUUUAACAUCACUGAGUCAAAAUUGUCUUAUAUGAAUAUUAUACUUUUCUACCAAAUCCUAUCUUCAGACAGUACUCAAAGAUUACACAAAUCUCACUGAGAUUACACACGAAUGUGUAAUCUAAGUAUGCCUUGGAAGCAUGUGUCUUGAAGUGUUGAAGAAGGGUUGGAAAGAUAGGUCAUCCUUGUAAUGGGUUUUUAAGUUUUAAAAAAAAAUAUAUAUAUGUGUAUAAACUGACCGGUUUUGUAAAAUACCGACCGGUCACCGGUUCUGACCGGUUUUGACCGGUUUGAUACUUGGCCGAUUCAACAUCUGUACUGUACCGGUUCACCGGUUUUCCGGUUGAACCGGCCAGUACGGUACGGUUUUAAUAACUAUACAAAAUUACAUGGCAAAGUUGCUUGAGAAGUGAAAGGUUUGCACAUUAAAAAAAUAAAAAUAUAAAAACAUAAAAUCACACGAUAUUAUGUGGCCCUUAUAUUUAAUACUCAAUUUUUCUUAAAAACUUCAAGUAUGAUAUUAUAUUUCUUUCUCUCAUACAACAUCAAAAGGUAGAGUGUAACCCCAAAAAUAAAAUUUUACACAUAAAAAUGUAAAGCUUUCAAUUUGGAUAUUGAUCACUUACCGUCAUCAACAUUAAAAUUCUAAUUUCAAUUUUAAAUGUUAGAUAUGUUGACAUUAGACUAAAUAUAGAUAAUGGUUAGAAUAUUCUAGCAUUCAAUAAUAAUAUUCAAAAUUUUCAGAAUUUAAAAGACCAUCAAAAAGGCAAUAGAAUUAAUAAGAAAAAAAGAUACUCACAACCUAAAUAAUAGUACUCUAUCAAUAAAUAUUUCACCUUAGUAAUCAUUGUAAUCCUAAUACUAAAUAGAAAAGGAAAUUAAAUAUAUGAAAUAAUUCUUUUUAUUUAAUACCCACACUAUUUGAUAUUAAAAAGAUUAACAGACUCAACAUGAGAAUAUAUUAUUAUUAUUAUAUGAAAACGUUAUCACGCAUGGGAUAGGAGAUUGGAUUGUGUGUAUACUUUAUAUGGUGUGGUGUAAGAAAUUAAAUAUAUGAUUCUUUCUUAAAAAGGUAUAAAAUAUUUCCUUAAUCAUGUGUCCAAUAUAUGUAUAUAUAUAUAUGUUGCUUGAGCAAUCCUAUUUCCCAUACUUAUAUUAUUAUUAUUAUAAUAUACAUAAUUUGAAGAACAUGGUUGAAGGCGUGAAGAAUGGUAGAUGGGCAGAGCUUGAUCACGAUUUAUUGAAUGAAAUAGCUAUGAAGCUUAAUUACUCUUAUAAUGACUAUAUUCAAGCUCGUAGUGUAUGUACAGAAUGGAAGAUGGCAUUACCCAAGGUUCCAUGUCUGGUGCUCCCUUUUAGUGAGGACAACACUCUUGAGACUUAUCUUGCACAUAGGAAGAUUUAUCACAUAAGAUUGCCCGAGUUGUGUGGCACCAAAAUACGUGGCUCUUCUUAUGGAUGGUUAAUCUGUGUGGGUAUAGAUGAUACAUUGCAAAUGAUAAAACCACUCAACCCUAAGGUACAUUUCUUCCUUCCUCCUCUCUCCACUAUUCCAAAUGUGGUUAGCUAUCAUCCUAAUGAGAUAGACAAUGAAUAUUUGCUACAAGAAUUUGGUGAUGAUGAUAUUUAUCCUAUGGGGAGAAUUACAUUGCAAAAGUGUCUCCAAAUUCACAAGGUUAUACUAUCUUCUCCCCCUGAUGAUAACAAUCAAGACUUCAUGGCCAUUGUUAUAUUUUCGAGUUAUAGUAGAUUGGCUUUUUGUAGACGAGAUGACACUAAGUGGAUAGAUAUUCCAAAAUCAGGGGAAGCUGAAUACACCUAUGAUUACAAAGAUGCUAUAUUUCAUGAAGGAAAAAUUUAUGCAAUUGAUUUCAAGGGCCAAUUAUUUGAAUAUCACAUCAAAAAAGGAGGAAUACCAAUUGCAUCUAGUAGGAAAGUUCCACCGCCUCCCCAUUUUAACUCAAGUACUAUUGAUCCUAACUACAAUCAAGCCUAUUUGAUAGGGUGCCCUAAAGGUGACCUAAUAAUGGUUGCUAGGAAUUUCAACUAUUAUCAAGCUGAAGAAGAUGCACCAGACUGUUAUAAUUCCGCCAAAUUUGAUAUCUAUAGAUUGAGCAGUGUUAAUAUGAAGCAAUGGUCAAGAGUUUUUAGGUUGGAGAAUGGUGCAAUAUUCAUUGGAUUUAAUUCAUCUACUUGGAUGGUCAAUCACACUCUUCCACAUUGUCAAAGGAAUAAAAUUUAUUAUACCGAUAACAAUUUAGAAUAUCAUUAUAGGGAACAAAUGGGUGGUCAUGACAUAGGUAUGUUGAACCUGGAUGAAGGCACUAUAUGUCGAUUUUCUCCAAACUCAUACUUACUUUGCCCUCCCCCAGUAUGGUCGUUGUAUUAAGACUAGGGUAGUUUAAUUCUGAGUUACAAUAUUUCACAAUAAUCUUAUUUAGAAAUAACAAUGUUAUUUACUUAUUAGCUAUCAAAUUUGAAUAAAAUUUUAUAUUUAUAAAUUUCAUAUAUUCUUUAUCUAGUUGUUUAUAAUUGUUUAAGCUUCCAUUUUUAAUUAUAUACAUGUUUGAUCAAGGAAAUAUAAAUCUUAACUCCCAUUUGUUAAAUUGGGAGAGUGUUAUCCAUGUGUGAAUGUUUUUUAAUUUCCUAUUUAGUUCACAAUUAUUAGAGAUGGUUUGCAUAACAGGUUAGCUUUUGAGUUUGUGUGUAUGGCUAAUAUGUUUUUCGUUAAUGUCGUGUUGUUAUGAGUUAUGACUAAAAAUUAUAGGUUAAAAAUGGGUGUAAUUAAGAUAAAAUCUUUUUUUAAGAGCACAAAUUAAAAGUUGAUUAUUCAUUUUUUUGCACAUCCACAUUC
rnacentral:lncRNA from 1 species